rnacentral:rRNA from 1 species
UAGGAAAGUGGCGCACGGGUGCGUAACGCGUAUGCAACCUACCUUAAUCAGGGGGAUAGCCCGAAGAAAUUCGGAUUAACACCGCAUAAAAUCACAGUACAGCAUUGUACAAUGAUCAAAUAUUUAUAGGAUUAAGAUGGGCAUGCGUGUCAUUAGUUAGUUGGCGAGGUAACGGCUCACCAAGACCACGAUGACUAGGGGAUCUGAGAGGAUGACCCCCCACACUGGUACUGAGACACGGACCAGACUCCUACGGGAGGCAGCAGUAAGGAAUAUUGGUCAAUGGAGGCAACUCUGAACCAGCCAUGCCGCGUGCAGGAAGACAGCCCUCUGGGUCGUAAACUGCUUUUAUUCGGGAAUAAACCUACUUACGUGUAAGUAGCUGAAUGUACCGAAGGAAUAAGGAUCGGCUAACUCCGUGCCAGCAGCCGCGGUAAUACGGAGGAUCCAAGCGUUAUCCGGAUUUAUUGGGUUUAAAGGGUGCGUAGGCGGCUUAUUAAGUCAGGGGUGAAAGACGGUGGCUCAACCAUCGCAGUGCCCUUGAUACUGAUGAGCUUGAAUACACUAGAGGUAGGCGGAAUGUGACAAGUAGCGGUGAAAUGCAUAGAUAUGUCACAGAACACCGAUUGCGAAGGCAGCUUACUAUGGUGUCAUUGACGCUGAGGCACGAAAGCGUGGGGAUCAAACAGGAUUAGAUACCCUGGUAGUCCACGCCCUAAACGAUGAAUACUCGCUGUUAGCGAUACACAGUUAGCGGCUAAGCGAAAGCGUUAAGUAUUCCACCUGGGGAGUACGCCCGCAAGGGUGAAACUCAAAGGAAUUGACGGGGGCCCGCACAAGCGGAGGAGCAUGUGGUUUAAUUCGAUGAUACGCGAGGAACCUUACCCGGGCUUGAAAGUUAGUGAAUGAUCUAGAGAUAGAUCAGUGAGCAAUCACACGAAACUAGGUGCUGCAUGGCUGUCGUCAGCUCGUGCCGUGAGGUGUUGGGUUAAGUCCCGCAACGAGCGCAACCCCUAUGUUUAGUUGCCAGCACGUUAAGGUGGGGACUCUAAACAGACUGCCUGUGCAAACAGAGAGGAAGGAGGGGACGACGUCAAGUCAUCAUGGCCCUUACGUCCGGGGCUACACACGUGCUACAAUGGAUGGUACAGAGGGCAGCAAGCUGGCAACAGCAAGCAAAUCUCAAAAAGCCAUUCACAGUUCGGAUAGAGGUCUGCAACUCGACCUCUUGAAGUUGGAUUCGCUAGUAAUCGCGUAUCAGCAAUGACGCGGUGAAUACGUUCCCGGGCCUUGUACACACCGCCCGUCAAGCCAUGGAAGUUGGGGGUAC